CGUGUAGGCGGGUCUUUAAGUCAGAGGUGAAAUGCCAAGGCUCAACCUUGGAACUGCCUUUGAUACUGGAGAUCUUGAGUCCGGGAGAGGUGAGUGGAAUUGCGAGUGUAGAGGUGAAAUUCGUAGAUAUUCGCAAGAACACCAGUGGCGAAGGCGGCUCACUGGCCCGGAACUGACGCUGAGACGCGAAAGCGUGGGGAGCAAACA
rnacentral:rRNA from 1 species